rnacentral:rRNA from 1 species
UACGUAGGAGGCGAGCGUUGUCCGGAUUUACUGGGCGUAAAGCGCGCGCAGGCGGCACUUCAAGUAAGGUGUGAAAUCUCCCUGCUCAACGGGGAGGGUGCACUUUAGACUGAGGAGCUAGAGGACGGUAGAGGGGGGUGGAAUUGCUGGUGUAGAGGUGAAAUUCGUAGAUAUCAGGAGGAACACCCGUGGCGAAGGCGACCACCUGGACGGUGACUGACGCUGAGGUGCGAAAGCGUGGGUAGCAAACAGG